AAGCUGCCGGUGUUACAAGACCUUGUAGGUUGUCAUCAAAGAGAAGGUCUUCUGAAAGCACAACUGUACCAAACAACAAUGAGACUAUCUCGGAAGUGAACAUUUCUGGCCUCUUGGCUGGAGAGGAGUCGGGCAAGAAGAAAACGAUUUCUCAGAAGAGGAAGAGUGGUGAUAUGUUACUUCAGCCAUUAGGAAAAAGAAAGAGAGUUUCUUUUGGUGGUCAUCUAAGUCCAGAACUUUUUGAUAAGAGUUUGCCCCCUAACUCACCCCUUAAGAAAGGAGCCAUCCCUGCCAGACUGAGCCUGCCCUUUGGUAACUCACCACAUGCUGUUCUGAAGAAGGCUCAGGGGCCAAAACACUUUGCAGUCCAGGAACUGCAGAAAGAAAAAAUGUCACCAAAAAAUGCAUCAGCCCAGAAGUCUCUAGCAGCCUCAUCCCCAACUCCUGAAAAGGCAACACCUAAUUUUACUUUAGGUUCUCCAGCACCUUACA